UCAUGAAAGCCGGCUGUACCCGAAGUCAUCGUGCUAACUGCAAAGAGGCAGAUGCCGAAGGUAUGGCUGGUGAUUGGGAGUG
rnacentral:rRNA from 1 species